rnacentral:misc_RNA from 1 species
AACAUUCUUGAAGAUUUGGAGACACUGAGGCUGCUGUCUAAACUAGUGCCUGAAUAUUCUUAUUCACUAGAUGAGGAAGGAAUUGGCAGGACGGCUUUUGAGCUUAUUUUUGCAUUUGAUGAAGUGAUCUCUCUUGGGCACAAGGAAAAUGUUACAGUUACACAAGUCAAGCAGUACUGUGAAAUGGAGAGUCACGAGGAGAGAUUACACAAGUUAGUCUUACAGAACAAGAUAAAUGAAACUAAGGAUGUCAUGAAGCGUAAAGCCAGUGAAAUUGACAAAAGCAAGAUUGAGAGGAAUAGAGGUGACAAAGGAGGUUUCAUGUCACUGCAAUCCAUGAGUUCUGGAAGAAUUGAUACUGGCUUUGGCAGCGACUCAGGCAUAUCCAACAUAGGAGGCAAUGGUUCUGGUGGAUUUGCUCUACCCCCUGAUGUGGACACAUUUUCCACCAAAUCCAAGGGUCGUCCAGCUGCAUCUGCUACUGCUCCACCGAAAGGUCUUGGUAUGCAACUGGGUAAAACACAGAAGACCAACCAAUUUCUGGAAUCCCUAAAAGCUGAGGGUGAGGUAAUUGUCGAGGAUGUGAGGCCAAGCGUUGGUCAGGCCAAACCAGCUGCUGCUCCACUAACUGAUCCCGUCACGUUGACUGUUGAAGAGAAGAUAAAUGUAACACUAAAGCGUGAUGGUGGUCUCAGCAAUUUUGUCGUCCAGGGUACUUUGUCUCUCCAAAUUCUGAACCAAGAAGAUGCUUUUAUCCAAGUGCAGAUUGAAACCAGUGGUAAUCCAGCAAUCCUCUUCAAAGCACACCCAAACAUGAACAAGGAGUUGUUUGCAAAUGAAAAUAUUCUUGGCCUUAAAGAUCCCAAUAGGUCAUUUCCCACAGGGCAAGGUGGUGAUGGUGUUAGUCUUUUGAGGUGGAGAAUGCAAAGCACAGAUGAGUCAAUUUUGCCUUUGACAAUUAACUGCUGGCCUUCAGUUUCUGGAAGUGAAACCUAUGUGAAUAUCGAGUAUGAAACCCCCGCGCAGAUUGAUUUACAAAAUGUUGUAAUUUCUGUACCCCUUCCAGCUCUCAGGGAGGCUCCAAAUGUACAACAGAUUGAUGGAGAGUGGAGGUACGAUUCCAGAAAUUCUGUUUUGGAGUGGUCUGUUCUUCUCAUUGACAAUUCGAACCGCAGUGGAUCACUAGAGUUUGUUGUUCCAGCUGCUGAUCCAUCAGCAUUCUUUCCAAUUUCUGCACAGUUUACUUCUUCGAGAACCUUCAGUGAUGUGAAGGUUGUCAACGUGCUGCCUCUAAAAGGUGGGGCCACUCCCAAGCAUUCUCAAAGAACACUGCUGGCCACGGAGAGUUACCAGGUUGUGUGACCACAAGGACAUUAUAAAAUUGUGCCGUUACAGCAAACAUUAUAGGGCUUGUUUUAUUUCAUUUUUGUUCAGACUUUUGUUUGCCCUUUUCCUUGUUAUCCUUUCCCAAAGUUCUUUCAUGUACGGAGAUGGAAUAACUUUGUUAGGUUGAACUUAGAAAGUCUUGUGCAUUUAUAGCGUACGCCGAUCAACUUACUUUUGCGCAAUUGAAUUGAACCAAAAUUUG